rnacentral:rRNA from 1 species
GACGAACGCUGGCGGCGUGCUUAACACAUGCAAGUCGAACGGAGUGGCGAACGGGUGAGUAACACGUGGGUGAACUGCCUUGCACUUCGGGAUAAGCUUGGGAAACUGGGUCGAAUACCGGAUAGUCCAAGAUGAGGGCGGGGCCUAUCAGCUUGUGGGUGGGGUAAUGGACUACCAAGGCGUGGACGGGUAGCCGGCCUGAGAGGGUGUACGGCCACAGUGGGACUGAGAUACGGGCCAGACUGCUUCGGGAGGAAGCGGUGGGGAAUAUUGCACAAUGGGCGGAAGCCUGAAGCAGCGACGCCGGGUGGGGGAGGAAGGCUUUCGGGUUGUAAACGCCUUUCGACAGGGACGCGGUACCUGUAUAAGAAGCACCGGCUAACUACGUGCCAGCAGCCGCGGUAAUAC